rnacentral:rRNA from 1 species
GUAGGUGGCAAGCGUUGUCCGGAAUUAUUGGGCGUAAAGCGCGCGCAGGCGGUUCUUUAAGUCUGAUGUGAAAGCCCACGGCUCAACCGUGGAGGGUCAUUGGGAACUGGAGAACUCGAGUACAGAAGAGGAAAGCGGAAUUCCACGUGUAGCGGUGAAAUGCGUAGAGAUGUGGAGGAACACCAGUGGCGAAGGCGGCUUUCUGGUCUGUAACUGACGCUGAGGCGCGAAAGCGUGGGGGAGCAAACAGGAUUAGAUACCCUGGUAGUCCACGCCGUAAACGAUGAGUGCUAAGUGUUAGGGGGUUUCCGCCCCUUAGUGCUGCAGCUAACGCAUUAAGCACUCCGCCUGGGAGUACGGCCGCAAGGCUG